rnacentral:rRNA from 1 species
GCGAAUAGCUCAGUAACACGUGGCCAAACUACCCUUCGGACCACCAUCCUCGGGAAACUGAGGCUAAUAUUGUAUACCACAGCCCACCUGGAAUGAGGACUGUGUCAAACGCUCCGGCGCCGAAGGAUGUGGCUGCGGCCGAUUAGGUAGACGGUGGGGUAACGGCCCACCGUGCCAAUAAUCGGUACGGGUCAUGAGAGUGAGAACCCGGAGACGGAAUCUGAGACAAGAUUCCGGGCCCUACGGGGCGCAGCAGGCGCGAAACCUUUACACUGCACGACAGUGCGAUAAGGGAAUCCCAAGUGCGCAGGCAUAGAGCCUGCGCUUUUGUACACCCUAGGGCGGUGUACGAAUAAGGGCUGGGCAAGACCGGUGCCAGCCGCCGCGGUAAUACCGGCAGCCCGAGUGAUGGCCGAUCUUAUUGGGCCUAAAGCGUCCGUAGCUGGCCGCGCAAGUCUAUCGGAAAAUCCACCCGCUCAACGGGUGGGCGUCCGGUAGAAACUGCGUGGCUUGGGACCGGAAGGCGCGACGGGUACGUCCGGGGUAGGAGUGAAAUCCCGUAAUCCUGGACGGACCGCCGAUGGCGAAAGCACGUCGCGAGAACGGAUCCGACAGUGAGGGACGAAAGCUAGGGUCUCGAACCGGAUUAGAUACCCGGGUAGUCCUAGCCGUAAACAAUGCCUGUUAGGUGUGGCUCCCACUACAAGUGGGUGCUGUGUCGUAGGGAAGCCGCUAAACGAGCCGCCUGGGAAGUACGUCCGCAAGGAUGAAACUUAA